CACUGAAAGUGUGCACAAAUACAGUAAGUGUAAGCUGAUAUUGGAUUUUUAAUUGGAUGCACAUGAAAAUCUAUCUUUCAUACAUGCCUAAAUUCACUUAAUAGCAUUUCAAAUUUAAGGUAGAUAGAUUGCAGUUUUUAGUGCUGCAUUUAUCUGUUAUUGAGCAUAACAUGACAGUAAUAUAAGAAUCCCUAAACUCAACACACCAGGAAUCAUUCAAGACAUGCCUGGUCAUGUGAUCUCAAAAUGGCUGCUGCCAUGAGUGGGCUACCCACUUUAUGUAAAAUAAACUAGCUUUUUUGAGCUGUGAAUACAAUCUCAUGUAUGCAUCAUUUUAAACACAUUUAUAAAAAAUACUAUUCCUUUAUGAAAACGUUUACAUUUUCACAUGGAAAAUAUCCAUCUGUAUUAAUGUCAUCCCUCAAUGGUAUUAUUAGUCAGUUGAUGUGAAGUCCCAUCUAAGAAACUGACAAAUAUAGCAAAGUAUGCCUUUAGAGUGUAAGGAGUUGACAGGAACUUCCCGGACCACCCGAUGAUAAGAUGAGAAUAGAUAAAAUAUAGAGUAUAUUCUCAUAGGAGGAAGUGUCAAGAUGUAUAUUUGCGUCGGGUGAAGCUGUGCACCAGUGUGCGGCAGGGUUUGGAAUGGUGUUUACUGCCCCCUCCAAUUCUGCAGCAGUUGAUCGUGUUCAGACCCAUAAGCCUCCUCUCCAGCCCACCACCCCCAGAUCGGACCCAAACCUCAUUGGCCGCUAGUGUCGUCACAGAGACAACAGCUGUCUCCAGGAUGAAGAAGCUACAUUUGGGGUGCCAGCCAGUCUGCCUGCCUGCAAUUGGAGAAUCCCAAAGUCCCUCAUGGCCUCCACACCACACACUGACUUCAAACCAGCCAACACAAAUAAGGAACAGCGCCCUCUAAAGAUCACCUUCCUUGCCCGCAAAGACCUUUCCCUAUUGGAGUAUGCAGUUGAGUUCAGCCAGCUCACCAUUUUAACGGUGUUCGACGACGCUACACUGAACUCACUGUUAUGGAUCGGGGUAAAUUACCAUAGCCCCGUCGACCUCCCAGACACCACUGGACUGAACUGGAGGGAAGCAAUGUCUACCCCCGAUCUGGAACAUGGCCAGACCCAGAGCCCAGCCCACCAUCUCCCCACUGCAUGGAGCUUAAGCCAGAGCCCACCACUGACGGAGAACCAGAGCCUGUUGUGACCGACAAGUCGUCGCAUAGGAGUGCAACAGAGCUGAGGAUCACCACGGAGCCAGAGCAGCCAGAUAGUCAGACCAGGUAUGAGAGCCGGCUACAAUGCCCGCCACGAGGGAGAAAGCCAUAGAAAGAGAGAGUGGAGAGGAGCUCCGCCCCCUGCACCGUGGCUGAGGGUGAGCUGAAAGGGGAUUUGGGAGAAUGCAAAGCGGAGGAAAACUUAAUUGACUUGUUUACCGACCUGCCCCCUUUCCUUCCUCCUCCGUCGGUGAACUAUGUCCCUACCGUUCCUGAGUUUAGCCCAGAGAAAGUUCCUGUUCCCAUGUCCAGCCCAGAGAAGGCUCCUGUUCCCAUGUACAGCCCUGAGAGGGCUCCUGGUCCCAAGUUAAGCCCGGAGGCUCACAAAGGCCCGCCCACUCACCCUCUCAUGCCUGGCAGCCCCUCUGCUUGCCCUCAGCCCACCAUCAAUACAGUGCAAGCUCCAUGAGUCUGCCAUCCUCCAUCGUCACAGUGGCUGCAGAAUCCCUGGUCUCCGCCUUCAGUCUCUGAGACCCAGACUCCACCUCGGCCAAUUGACUCAGCGGCUCCACCAUGGCUCCUAGCUCCCUCUUCUCCGCCGUGGCCCAUCAGUCCACUGGCUCCACAGGGCUCCCUCGUCCCUCCGGCGCCACCUUGGUCUGUCGUUGACCAUCCGUUGCUUCGGGACUCUAAUCCUCUGGCUGCACCUCGUCCCUCCAUCCCUCCGGCUCUGUCAGGCUCCUCCAUCCCUUCGGCUCCUACUCAAUUCUUUGUUGCUCCAGCUCCACCGCAGUCUUCUGGAUCCCUGCAUCCGCCACUGGAGCCAUCCAAGUCCCUCCUGUCAUCUCCCUGGCUCUUUCCUCUGUUUGACCCUCUGUUGGCACCUGUGUUCCUUCCAAUUCCCUCGUUAUCCUGUGUAUUUAAGCACCAGUCUGUUCAGUCUUUGUUUGUCGGGUCUACCAGUUGUGUACUUGUGUCUUCCUUCCCUACUAAGUGUGGAUUUAGCCUGUGUGUUGGAUGUAAUAAAUGACAGUUUUGUUCAUCCA
ensembl:lncRNA